rnacentral:lncRNA from 1 species
UAUGUCUGCCUUGCUAUGGAGGGUAAAGGUGGACAGUUAUAGGAAAUUCUUUAGUACCUGUAGAGGUACUAUUCUUUUACUCGUGUCGGCAACCAAUGUGUGAUUGAUCAGUAUGGCUUCACGUGUUUUCUUCUUUAUCAGAAAUCUUCGACAAAUUGUCCGUAAUUUUCGUCAAGCUGAGUGUGCAUGUGACAGGUGUUGACGAGGCUGAAAAAGACUGGUGCCUCUUCGAUAUCUGGGAUCGGCGCUUCGACAAAUUGCCCGUGAUUUCCGCAAAGCUGAGUUUGCGCGUGACGGGUGCUGACGAGGCUGAAAAAGACUGGCGCCUCUUCGAUAUCUGGGAUUGGCGCUUUAACAAAUUGCCCAUGAUUUCUGCAAAGCUGAGUUUGCACGUGACGGGUGCUAACGCGUCUGGAAAAGCAAGAUGCUUCUCCGAUUUCUGAGCUUGCCUCUUUGAUUUUUGAAUUGGCCUCUUCGAAUUCUGAGCUCGCCUCUUCGAUCUUUGAAAUCCCAUCGAGUGUUGAUCUUUAUAGAGGCACGCAGUUCGUUUCAAAGCACACUUGAAUUUUCGCUUGUAGAAACUCCCUUCUUGCACUUCUAAGAUCUUGAUUUGUCCGACCUCUUCUUUCUUCAACACCUUUGAAAAUGUCUGGACCCUCCGACCGUCAUUUUGAUUUGAACCUUGGUGAAGAGGUAGUCCCGUCUUCUCCAGAUAACAUAUGACGCCCAUCUUUCAUAUCCCCUACUGGUCCUCUUACCGUUGGGGAUUCGGUGGUGAAGAAUGAUAUGACCGCUGCGGUGGUGGCCCGAAACCUUGUCACUCCCAGAGAUAACAGACUACUUUCCAAACGGUCUGAUGAGUUGGCUGUUAAGGAUUCUCUGGCUCUCAGUGUGCAGUGUGCAGGUUCUGUGUCUAAUAUGGCCCAACGCCUAUUUGCUCGAACCCGUCAAGUUGAAUCAUUGGCGGCUGAAGUGAUGAGUCUCAAACAGGAGAUAUUAGAGGGCUCAAGCAGAGAGAUAAACAGUUGCAUAAGCUCGCACAUAGCUAUGCGACAAACAUGAAGAGGAAGAUUAACCAGAUGCAGGAAUCUGAUGGUCAGAUUUUACUUGAUCAUCAGAGGUUUGUGGGUUUGUUCCAGCAGCAUUUGCCUUCGUCUUCUGGGGCUGUACCGCGUAAUGAAGCUCCAAAUGAUCAACCCUUGGCUCCUCUUCUUCCUGGAGUUCCGCCGAGUGGUGUGGCUUCAAACAGUCAACCUCCGACGCCUCUCAUUUCUGGAGCUCUGCUGAGUGGUGAGGUGGCACCUAAUCGUCCUUGAAGAUCCCCUCUUGUAAAUUUGAUUUGAUUUUUUUUUAAGUAUGUAUAAUGCAAAUUUAUGUAAAAUUUCCAGAAAAAAUAAAUAAAAACGGACUUUAUUUCUCUCAAUGCAUUUGUUUUGUUUUGUUUUUGUUUUUUUUGUUUUUUUGUUUUUGUUUUUUUUGUAAAUACAUAAUAACAUAUGUAUUUAUUUAUUUAUUCUUUUGUAAUAAAAUUGACUUUCUUUAAUAAAACUUUUAUAUUUUUCUUAUUUAUUUUGAUAUGACUGAACUCGAAAUUGAAUGUUCGAGCCGCCUACGUACCCUUCCAAAGAAGAGAUCAAGCCAUAACGUAGUUCAAAUGAGUGAUGAAUUUAAUAGUGAUUUUGAUGAUGAUUUUGCCGUACACAGUUUAUGCUCUUGUGGGCCAGGAGCUUUGGUGUUGCCUUUUAUGCUCGUGCAGACCAGGAGCGUUGAUGUCGCCUUUUAUGCUCGUGUGGGUCAGGAGCGUUGAUGUUGCCUUUUAUGCUCGUGCAGACCAGGAGCUUUGUGCCAUGCAGUUUAGACUCGUGCGGGCAAGGAGCUUUGGUUCGUGCAGUUUAGGCUCAUGCGAACAAGGAGCAUUGGUUCGUGCAGUUUAGGCUCGUGCGAACAAGGAGCAUUGGUGUUGCCUUUUAUGCUCGUGCAGACCAGGAGCUUUGUGCUAUGCAGUUUAGACUCGUGCGGGUGAGGAGAAUUUGUGAAUUUUGUCAAGCACUUUUGGAGAGGCGUUCCUUACAAUCUUCAUAGCAAGGAGCCUUGACCGAGUGAUUGAAGAAGUCUUCGGGAAAGAAGUCGCACAUCGUGAUGGCAACAGACGAUCUUUGUGUCGUAAUUUCAUCAUCUUCAACACGUUCACGUUGCUUUGAAGGUUGACAAGAGCUGCUUUGCCCCCUUUCCGAUUGGCGGACUUGUGGAGGAGACGUAUGCUUCUUGUGCCAUUUCUUAGGAGUGACUUGAGUCCAUCCUUCAAGUUUGCUUGUUUUGGAGGAUGCCCCCGGCGGUUGAGGUGAAAAUUUUGUGUUGAAAGAGCCAGAAGUGAUGGUGGUAUAGUUUGACUUCACCACAUCGUCAAGAUCUAGCUCGAUGAUUCCUUUCUGAGCCCACUUUAUGAUGAGAUCUUUCAGCACAAAGCACUUUUCUGUCGGAUGACUGAUGAAGCGGUGGAAUUUACAGUAUCUUGGACUGUUGGUACGAUUCAUCUCUUCCGGCCAUCUGCACUCAGGCAAACUGAUCACCUUCUUGUCCAACAGGUCAUCCAACAUGGCAACCACAUCAGAGUCAGGGAAUGGAUAAGUCUUCUCUUUAAGCUCCUUCAAAGUGCGUCUACGCAUCUCUUGAUCACGAAAAGCUUCGGUUUGAAUCGUUUUGCCUCGUGUGGAGAUUUUGACGGGAGAUGUGUUGACUGUCAUUGCUUCCUUGGUGGAUUUCCACGUAGCCUUCUCCACCUUUGUCUCAAGAAUUUUGUCGUUCUUGUAGUCGGCGAUCGGUUCCUUCUUCCCAUGAUGGGUGAUGCUCAACUCCAUGUCAUGGGCGUGGGUGGCCAAUUCCUCGAAGGUCCGUGGUUUAAUGCCUUGAAGGAUGUAUUGCAAACCUCAUUGCAUGCCUUGGAUGCACAUCUCGAUUGAAGAGGUCUCCGAGAGCCUAUCUUUGCAGUCGAGGCUUAGAGUGCGCCAUCUGUUGAUGUAGUCAAUGACCGGCUCAUCUUUCCAUUGCUUCAUACUUGUGAGCUCCAACAUGCUUACAGUGCGGCGGGUGUUGUAGAAGCGGUUGAGGAAUUCCCGCUCCAAUUGCUCCCAGCUGUUGAUGGACUCAGGCUCUAGGUCCGUGUACCACUCAAAUGCGUUUCUUUUCAGCGAGCGCAUAAACUGCUUGGCGAAGUAGUCCCCCUCCGUCCCCGCGUUGUUGCAAGUUUUGACGAAAUGUGCAACGUGCUGCUUUGGGUUUCCUUUUCCAUCAAACUGCAUGAACUUUGGUGGUUGAUAUCCCAUCGGCAUCUUUAGGGCAUCAAUCUUCUUUGAAUAAGGCUUUGAGUACAACCCGGAGGUAUUUGAGCUCCCUUCGUACUAUGCCUUGACGGUGCUGGCAAUCAUCUCUUGCAACUGUUGGAUAGAAAGAGAUCCCAUGAGUGCCGCUUCUUGGUCUGGCUCCGGCUUCACAUCGAUUUUCUCCACCGUAGGCUCAUCUUCUGGGUUAGGGUUCUCGCUGUCCUGUGGCUCCAGUUGACUGAUGAGUGCAGCGAUUUGCAAGUCUUUUUCUUCCACAGUUCGGGUUAGCCUUGCGAUUGCUUCAUUCAUUUGAGCCAGUUGUUCUUCGAUGGAGGUAACGCCGAUGGUCAUGACUUGUGCAACCAAUAGACGUGACUUUCCUUUAGACAUCCAAGAUGCUGAAGAAGAACGUCAUUGGUUGUUUUGGGAUGUCAUCUUGUGUGCCUCAGCAACAUGCUUUGGUGCCCCCAGCGAGGUCAGGUUGAUGACAGACUCACACCUUUGAUGCUCCCUUUGCUCUUUUAGCGGCACCAACUUUGAAGUGGCAUGUUAAGGAGCGGUUGUGGUGCUAAUGGAUUGUCCAUUUGCGGCAGAAGUGCUUAGGAUCCUUCCCUCAGUGAUUGCGAGAACGGCUUGUCCCUUGCUUGAUGCCAUUGAUUUUGAGGUGUGUUUGGAUUCCUUAAACGGAGAAAGAUAUGAGAGGUAGAGAUUGUCCCACCGGGCGUGCCAAUUUGUGAACACGAAAAUUUCCUGAAACGAAAGAGACAAGAACAACGUGCACAAAAUAAUAUUUUGGUGUUAAUGGAUUUGUUGGGUUACGAUCUCUUUUAACUUGAUCCUCUGAUUCGAUCUCCGUAAGGUGUUGAUUUAUGGAUGUUUCGUUGAUCUAAGGGCCGUCGAGGCUUGAUCUUGGAUGAACUGUUGGAAGUUUCUUCAAGGGGCCGUGGGCUUGAUCUUUGAAGGUGGAUUUGAGCGGAUCUUCAAGGAGCCGUUGGGGCUUGAUCUUGAGGAUGAGUGUUUCUUCAAGGGCCGUUAAGGCUUGAUCUUGAAUAACGGUGAUGAACGGAUCUUCAAGGGCUUUUGGGCUUGAUCUUGAAGAACGGUUGGAUGUGUGGAUUUGUUGAUGUUGUUGAUCCAAGGGCCGUCGGGGCUUGAUCUUGGAAGAACGAUGAACGAAGAACGAAGAACACUUUCUUCAAAGGCCGUCGGGGCUUGAUCUUGAAUUGGUGAUUGUUGAUCCAAGGGCCGUCGGGGCUUGAUCUUGGAAGAACGGUGAACGAAGAAUGAAGAACGAAGAACACUUUCUUCAAGGGCCGUCGGGGCUUGAUCUUGAAUUGGUGAUUGUUAAUCAAAGGGCCGUCGGGGCUUGAUCUUGGAAGAACGAUGAACGAAGAACGAAGAAGGCUUUCUUGAUUCUUCGGGAUGAACGGAUGAUGAACAAUGAACACUUUCUUCAAGGGCCAUCGGGGCUUGAUCUUGAAUUGGUGGAAGUUCUUCAGGGCCUUUGGGGCUUGAUCUUGAAGGUGGAUGAUUGUUGAUCCAAGGGCCGUCGGGGCUUGAUCUUGGGAUGAACAGUUGUGUGGAUUUGUUGAACACUUUCUUCAAGGGCCGUCGAUGCUUGAUCUUGAAUUGGUGGAAGUUCGUCAAGGGCCGUUGGGGCUUGAUCUUGAAGAAGGAUUUGACGAAGAACGAAGAGAGCUUUCUUGAUCCUUCGGAAUUUGCUUGAAUUUGGGAGGUUGGAUGCUUGAAAGCUUUAGAGUUUCAAAGCUUCAAGGAUUUUGGAUGUGUGGGGAGUAUUCUCUUACAUUUUGGGAGUAGAGAAAUGUAUUUGUGAAUUGGUUUUUGAUACCUUGAUGUAGAAGCCUAUUUAUAGGCUUUGAGAAUGAAUCACCACCACAAAAUAUUUUUUUCUUUUCCAAGCACCAUUGCCUAAUUUCCCACUUAAUACAAUUUUAAACUUGAAGUGGUAAUUUUAUGGCCUAAUUUUCCACUUAAUAUCAUUUUAAACUUGAUAUGUGCAUGCUUUGUCAUUGCCCAAAAUGAGAAGAAAACCUUGUUUUGAUCUUCAAUGGAUUGAAAUGUGCUUUGCCUUGUCAUUGCCCAAAAUGAGAAGAAAAACUUGUGUAAUCCUCCAAGGGUAUUUCUUUUUAUUUUGUUGAGUCACACACCAUGUGUACAAUUUGUAUGACACGUGGCAUAUGCCAUAUAUGCCUUGACACGUCAAAAUUUUAAUGCGUUGGUGAACAUUUAUUUCACCGCAAUUUCGAUGUCUACAAUUUCAUUUCUUGUGAAUAAUGUUUAUCCUGUGUUCUGUCCAAUCGCGUAUUAAAAAAUGUGUGAAGUUUGGAUUAACCACACUCUUUUAGAAUUUCCUUUAUUUACCACUUUUUGAGAAUUUCCAAUAAGACUGGGUGAGUCUCCGCUGAGAAUUUCCUCAACUAACACCACACUACUUGAGGGAUAAUUUGUUAUAUCUUUGAAUAAAGAAUAAAACAGUUUCCUACUUUUGAAGGUACUAUUAACUUACACUAUAUUUGGAUGAAGGUCAAACUUUAUAAAUUGACAUACACCAAAUUCUUUGUUUGGAUUCAUAAACAUAUAAAUUUAGAAUUUCCGCGUGGAAAAAAAAAAUACUUAGAAUUUGAGACCUCCAAUUCUCAAAUUGAAAGUUUAAAAAUAAUAAAUUCCGUAUUCAAUUCAAUUGUUCUUUUAGGUUAACCAAAUAAGAAAAUUCACAAAUUCUAAAAUAUAAAAUCUCAUCAUUUCAAUUUCCGUCAUUUUAAAAUUCCUUAGUAAUAUUAAAUUUCUUCAUCCAAACAUAGUGUUAAGAAAUUUUUUAAAGAUACACUAUUUACACUCAUUUUUAUUUCUUACACAUUUAUUAACUUUGUCCAUUGAUUUCUUCAAUUCAUUUUGCCAGUUAUACAAAAAUUGAGAACAGUAUUUAUGAAUUAAAAAUACAUUUGUAGAUGUCACUACCAAAUUUUUAUUCCUAAUUCAAGAAAAUCUUAUCCAUAUAUGAUUGCCCUUGCCCACUUUAAAUGGGUGCCAUCACUUUACGAUAGAGCAAUCCUAACCGUCCACCUAGGUAAGCAUAACUGGCGAUGCAUGUCGCAAGGGGACCGCAUUGCACAAUAUAAUUAUACUAGUUGAUAAGACAAGUGAUGUCAAUCAAUAAAUUAUUUCAUUAAAACUUAGUUGUAUGUAUCAUAUGUUGUAAUGUAGGGUGUAUGAUAUGCUGACGCUGUAAAAAAAUGUAACCUUUUUAAUAUUACUCAUAAUAGUAAGACUUACCAGUAUUAGGAUGUUAUCAGUGGAAUGAGAAUCCUCUCCAGAUCUUUUUUGUGAGCUAUUAUUUGUAUUUAAUUUUAAAUAUAAAAAAUUAAAAUAAUUUAUGACGGCAGUGAUUCACAUGAUCUUCACAAAGAGAAUCCAAAUAAUCUUAAUUUAUAUCAGUGUGUCUAGAUAACAUGAUCGAGCCCCUUUACUUUUACCCUAUUUAGUAUUUUACAUUUGAACCUGUAAAUAUUCGAUUUUUCUUUGGUGCAACCGAGCACCAAAUAUAGAUUUUUUUUCACUUUUAUAUAAUGAUAAAUAAAGGGCAAUUGGCAGAUUUGAAUUCCAUUCGGAUUGGUCAAAAAUCAUUUUAAAUUGUUUUAUUUAAAAUUAAACACAUAUAGUACUUAAUAAAAAUUAGUCGUACAAUAUACGAUAAACAGAUAUAAUGUAAGGACCUUUAUGAUCUUCACAAAAAAGAUCCAAAGGUUGUGUAGCUGUUUCAAAAGGAUAAUACUCACUUUUGAUUAGUUCAAUGAAAUUUUAAACAUGUUUUAUUGUUUUAAAAAAUAAUAAACAUAUUUAUUAAUGUUUGUUUUACUUUAAAAAAUAAGCAGCACUUGACAACAUUUGAUUGUGCUAAAUAAAAAAUGAGUGACCACUUAGUACUACAGUCUUAUGAUAUUUUUCUUCAUUUGAAAGUGAGAGGUUUUAAGUUCGAAUCUCGUGGAUGACGAAUUUGAUAUCAAAUUAGAUUGCUCACUAUGUGGCUUAGCCGAACUCUCAUUUCCUUUAAUGUAAAAAUAUUGAUGUAUUCAAAAAAAUAAAAAGUGACUAUAGAGGACACUCAAUCUCAGCUGUAUGAUUAAAUCAGACGGUAAGAAAAAUUCUGCAAGCAUACUCGGUUACAUUAAUUGAAGAAAAAAUGGGUAAAUAUUGGGCACCAACGUUAUAAAUACCCUCCACCAUGCACCCAACUCCCUCACACCAUCACAACCCACGUUACAAAUCCUCCUCCUCAUCAUAACCAUUCUGUUUUCCGCAUAAUAUCCAAAAACCUAUCAUGUCUGAAGAGAAACACCACCGCGGUCUCUUCCACCACCACAAGGAUGAAGACAAACCCUCAGACUACCCUCAGUCUGGCUACUCUGAUGAAGGACGUCCCGGCGGCCUCGGUGGUGGUUACGGCGACACCAAUGAUUAUUCUGGUGAAGGACGUACCGGCGGCCUAGGUGGUGGCUAUGGCGACACCAAUGCUUAUUCUGGUGAAGGACGUCCCGGCGGCUAUGGCGGCUAUAACGAGACCACUGCUUACUCUGAGGAAAGAGUUGAAAGACCCGGCGGUGGCCGGUACAGUGAGACUACUGCGGCAUAUGGCAGCACCAC